UUUGUGUGUGUCAUGUCAGUUCACUCCAGGUGUAAGCCCCAAACAGCAGCAGCAGGCAGAACAAAUGCACCAGGCUUGAGCCAAUCAGAUCCCAGAUAUGCCAGGAACAGGUUGAUUCCUGACAGGGACUGAGGCUCUCGCUCGCCGCCUUUUCUUGCUCCUGUAUUUCUCCAACCAUCCCAGCGUCCUUUUCAUUUAAAGCCUUUAUCUCCAGAGAUACCAGCGCUCGGACCGUGACCCAGACCGGCCUCAGCGAACACUGCAGAAUAUCAUAUGCUGAACAAACUGAUGACUAAGAGAGGUGACGGAGGAAGGGAAUCGGAAAAAUAGAAAUAAAAUAUGCAAAAGAAAAGAAAUAGCAAAGAAGCAGAAGUUAGAUGCCAUGUAUGGAGAGGGGCAGAUGAACAAUGAGAAGGAGGAAUGAAUGAGAACAGAAAAAGAACAAGCCUUUGACGAAAAUCAGAAGCAGGACAAAGACUGUUAAAAAAUUUACAUCAGGAGUUCAACACCAGGUGGAGCCUUAAGUCCCGGAUAUUAUGACAAUGCAUCAGAAGAGGAGGAGUAUGUUAUGCAAGACAAGGCUUGAGAAAGAGAUCCAAAAGACUAAACAAGACGAUGGCAAGAUUUAAGGUGUGAUAAGUGGGGGACGGAAGAGGACAACAUUGCUCUACAUAGAAUGUCCCAAAUAAAAUCA